GUUGGCCACAUGCUCCGUACGGCCCUAAAUCAGAGAACACAGUAGAGGUGAGUGAGAGGCCAGCUCGGUCUCAUAAAUAUCCUCUUGCUCCCGUCCCCUCCCCCACCCUGGGAUCCUGUUGGGACAAAUGUCUUGGCUCAGUGGGUUGAAAAGGAAAGUCAGAAUUCUGAGGCAUGAAUUGCUGUGCCCACUGACUCACUUCCUCCUCCCCACCCACUGCAGACCCAGCCGGGCCCUGAGUAACACAGGUUGCAGCCUUCUCCCUGCCCGUGCCCCUCAUCUGAGCACUCCACCCCCCAGCCCUCGCUGAGGACCUCACCCGUGAGUGGAAGGGCAGUGACGCCAGCUACCCCUGAUCUGAAAUGCGCUUGCAAGUUUUGGUGAGCUAGGGGGCAGGGGGUAGGGGUGGGGGACGGGAACAAAUUCUGCUCUCAGGACCCCGAGCCUGAUGUGCAAGGCAGAGCACCCCUCUGGAGUUUGACCUGGGAGGUACCAGAAAUUCCCCUCCUCAUAACGGGCGCUCUCCUUUCCUGCCAGGAUCACAGAAAUUCUCACCAUGAGGCAACCUUCCUGUUGCCCUAAGGCCUUGUCUCCCGAACGUUCUUAUUAAAAGGCAGGGAGCUCACCUGGCAGGGUAGCACGUGGGCUCCCUGGCAGGGAUGGGGCAGGAUGUUACAGCAUCUCCCACAGAGCCCAGGGCCCUGGGUUAUAAAUGAUUCAGGCAGCAGGAAGGUAGGGGGAGGGAGGGAAGAGGCCAGGGCUGGGACAGAGAAUGAUUUAAUGGAGGGGGGUGGCAGGCAGGCCCCUGGCACUGUCCUUACUGGUUCCCAGUUAGCAUGAUGGGCAGUGAAGAAGGGAUUUCACUUUCCUGCAAAACAGUGCCCCCGAGUCUUGGGCUUUUCCCUCUGGAGGUCCCUUCCCUGCCUUGUCCUGGGCUCCUCUGAUGGGAAGAAGAGUUGUAAGGGCUUGGGGGACGUCACGGCCACUCCUCAGUGGCAGAACUGCUCUGGGCAGCACUCCUGACCGUGGCUCGGAGGCGGAGCACGGGCACAGCCCAUCUGGACUGCCGAAUGAGAUGGAACUCAGGGGUACGGUGUGGGGGGUGGGGUGGGGGGAGACAACCAGAUGCGCACGGGGACACGGGCCCAGCGAGGGGCCACGGGCGGGGCAGCCGGGCAGCAAUCACAGAGGCUGCAAGGGACACGCUCAGGAAAGGCUUCGGCUUGCCGGCCUUGGAACUGAAGGCAACGGCUGGGUUCCCUCACCCCUGGGAGUGAGCCGAGAGCCUUUGCGGCUUCAAAAGACCGAUCCGGGGCGGAUGCAGGGAUGGACCCGAGAAAGGACGAGGACCUGCCCUGCUGCAGAGACGUACAUGGACGUGAGAGAUACGUGGGUGAGGGCGGGGGCAGGAGCCGGUGGCGCGUCGGUGCAGGGGAUGCGGGGAGAGGUCAGUAGCCAGUAGCUGGCGAGUCCGCGGGACCUCCGGGGCCUCCUAGGUGGAGGUGUGUUCGGCAAUCUGCCAGAGGCCCCGGGACAGGGGUGGAGGAAGACAAGGCCAGAGUCCGGGAGGGCCCCCCAAAGUGGCGCGCGCCAAACCUUCCGGCAGAGGGAAGAUCCUAGAGGCCUUUCCCCAGAAGCACUAGCCUCAGCUUGGAUGUCAACCGGGCUCCUUGGGGUCAGGCUUGGCCCGCAGCAGGCUCCCCUGAGAUAGUUCCCAGGGUCUCUCACCACCUGCACCCUGGACUCCAGGCCUCAGCUCCGUCCUUUCUUCCCUCUGGCCCCCUUCUUGUUCUAACUCUCUUGGUUACCACCCCAGAGGCCCCCGCUUCAUUCAUUCCCUGCCUGCCCUCUUCUCUGCCCCCACAGACACCCUUAGACGUCCGAACAAUGCACAGCUAUCCUUGCUGCCAGUGUGCCGGGCAGUGGAGCCCCUACCCCAACGCGCAUCAGCCUCUGACUCACCUUUAGUCAUCUCUGACCCUCAUUUCUUUGCAAAGAGGUGACGGUCAUGCCCAACUCUGGGAAUAGUUGGGACAUAACUGAGACCAUACCUGAGGCGCACCUGGCGUGGGACCACCCCCUGUGCCCUUCCCUUCUCUUCCCUUGGACAAUCAUUACCUGGCCCCAGGGCUUUACUACCCUGACCCUAUUCAAAACUAACCUUAGACGACUCGCUGCUCAGCCCGGGGCUUGAGGUUCCUCCACGACCACCUGCUUCCCUUUGGUCCUUGCACCCCCCACUCCCAUCCUUUCCCCCUGGCUCCAGCCCGUGGGGGAGGGAGAUCAUCCCCCAAAUCCGGCUCGCCCCUUUCUCGAGACCUUUGCCCGGAGUGCCUGAAAGCGACAUGCCAGCAUCUUCCUGCCCAUCGACAGCUCCCCUUCCAUCAAGGCCAGUCGAGGCCCAGUCCCAGCUCCCCGGGCCUCAACGGAUGUUUUCUGCUCUGGCACAGCCCUGUUUUUCCCUCGGAUAGAGCGCUCGCCAUAUUGGGCCAUAUGUCACUUAUUAGCUGGGGCGAAGUUGCUUAAGCUCUCUGUGACUCAGUCUCUCUGUCUGCACUGGAGCUAAUAACUGCACUCUAACCCUAGAGUCGUUGCGGAGAGUAGAUAGGAACGUGCACAGGGCCCGCCGCAGAGUAAAUAGGCCAAUAAAUGUUUUUUUUUUUUUUUUAUUGAGAUGGUGGGGGUGGGUGACGACAGGGCUCCCAACAGCCCUGACUCUCAGAGAAGGCAAGCCCAGGCCGCCCCCCUCUCUCUCCACCCUGCCCAUAGCUCCUACGACACUGCUCUGCUGGGAGUGGAGGUCAGUGAUAUGCCUCAGAUUGAAGCUUCUCUGGCCCAUCAAACAAAUCGCAGUGCUCCUUUGUGGGUUCCCUUCGGCUCCAUUCACUGCGGUGCGUGGAUGUUUCUGUGCCUGGGAAAUGGACCCCCAAGAGCUAGUGGAGUUAUCAGCCCCUGGGGAACCCCCAUCACAGAGGAGCCUGGCUGACCUUCCCCGGGGCUCAGAGUGGGACUCCAACACAGAGAUGGGGACCAGUGGAGAGUGGGCAUCCUGGAAUUCUUCCUGGAGGAGGAAAAUGGGGAGAGCUAGGCUGAGAAAAGGGGUGACAGGUUUCACGGGGAGUCUCACUGCGCCAAGCUCUUUAUGUAGAUUGCGACCUUUAUUUUUCAGGAGGAGCCUGUGAGGUCAGAAGGAAGAAUCUGCUUCCAGAAGGAAGCAAAGGCCCGGACUGACAAAGCGACAUGCCCAAGGUCACACCAUUCCAGAGGGGAGCAGGAUUCUAGUCCUGAUCUGCUGGGCUCUGAGGGGAGGGCCAGGCCGAGGAUGGUGGGAGAAUUCCAGACUCUGGUCAGCUGCCCCUGCAUUCAGGGAGGCUCUGGGUGGGGUGGAAACAGCCACCAGAAGCCAGGGGCACGCGGCAAACAAGGGUGCCAGGAAAUGAACCGGACCCAGGGUCCUUCCUCCCGGCCCGCCCUGUGCCCCUGGCCAACUGCCACCUCCCUUUGAGGCUUCUCCCUGUAAGA
rnacentral:lncRNA from 1 species